rnacentral:sRNA from 2 species
CGUGCGCCGUCGCCGAAUCCCGCACGCACCAGCACCACCCGCAACACCAGGGAACCGGGGAACCACCAACCUUGGGGUGAAUCGGGCCCGCACCUGGGCCCGUAGGAGACCUUCCUGCUCCGAACCCGUCAGCUAACCCGGUAGGCGAGACGGAAGGAAAGG